GACGAACGCUGGCGGCGUGCUUAACACAUGCAAGUCGAACGAAGAGCGAUGGAAGCUUGCUUCUAUCAAUCUUAGUGGCGAACGGGUGAGUAACGCGUAAUCAACCUGCCCUUCAGAGGGGGACAACAGUUGGAAACGACUGCUAAUACCGCAUACGAUCUAAUCUCGGCAUCGAGGAUAGAUGAAAGGUGGCCUCUAUUUAUAAGCUAUCACUGAAGGAGGGGAUUGCGUCUGAUUAGCUAGUUGGAGGGGUAACGGCCCACCAAGGCGAUGAUCAGUAGCCGGUCUGAGAGGAUGAACGGCCACAUUGGGACUGAGACACGGCCCAGACUCCUACGGGAGGCAGCAGUGGGGAAUCUUCCGCAAUGGACGAAAGUCUGACGGAGCAACGCCGCGUGAGUGAUGACGGCCUUCGGGUUGUAAAGCUCUGUUAAUCGGGACGAAAGGCCUUCUUGCGAAUAGUUAGGAGGA
rnacentral:rRNA from 1 species